AAAAAUUUACGAGUAACUUCUGGAUUUAUUUGGAUGAAAAAGCCCAUGGCAGGAAUGACUGGCUCACUCCAAACAAGAUAGAAGCUUGUAGAUUUAUUUUGACCAAAAAAAUUUGGCAGGAAGAUUAAAAGUAAAAGAGUGUUUUUGGAGCUUAAAGAUCCAGAAAACCAAAGAAAAAAAAAAAAGAGAGAGCUAGAAGGAAGAUUAAGCCAAAGUCCAAUGAUCGUUAAAGCGGUGCAAAAGAUCAGUCCUAAAGUGACAAUUGGUGGGUAGAUCGGUUGCAAACAUCUCAAUCGGUAUGGGUUGUUGAGCGGAUCAGUAACUUGACAAAGAAAGAUGAACAAUUUGUUUUUAUUGUUAUUUUCAAAAUUCUUUUUAAUUUUUUCAUGAUUUUCCUUUGAUUAUUUCAAAAUCCACUGUUCAUCGUGGAGAGUCGCAACAAUCGUUCACUGCCAGCGAACAUUAGCCAUUCGAGGUGUUCGUUGAAAACGCGCUCAAGCUCCUCAGAGUCUCCGAAAGUGCUUUUUUUUUUUUUUUUCUAAUGAUAUUCUUCGCUCCAAGAAUUCGAUAGUUGCCUCUAUUAAGGAUGACCAUGAAGCUAUUGCGCAGUUGAUUCAUUGCUCCUUUCUUUUUCAACUUUGAAAAUUUUGUGAAUUAACAAGAUUUGGGUGAUAAAUAUUGAACCUUUUUGUGUAAAUGUUGAUAAAUAAUUUUGCUUCUGGGUUUUAAACUAAUAGAGUUUAAAUUAAAAUUUGAUGUUUUGGAUGAUGAAUUUCUGGAUAU
rnacentral:lncRNA from 1 species